rnacentral:rRNA from 1 species
UGAGGAAUAUUGGUCAAUGGGCGAGAGCCUGAACCAGCCAUGCCGCGUGCAGGAAGACGGUCCUAUGGAUUGUAAACUGCUUUUAUUUGGGAAUAAACUCUGGUACGUGUACCAGCCUGAAGGUACCAAAUGAAUAAGCACCGGCUAACUCCGUGCCAGCAGCCGCGGUAAUACGGAGGGUGCAAGCGUUAUCCGGAAUCAGUGGGUUUAAAGGGUCCGCAGGCGGUUAUAUAAGUCAGUGGUGAAAGCCUACAGCUCAACUGUAGAACUGCCAUUGAUACUGUAUGACUUGAAUUCGAUCGAAGUGGGCGGAAUAUGACAUGUAGCGUUGAAAUGCUUAGAUAUGUCAUAGAACACCGAUAGCGAAGGCAGCUCACUAGGUCUGGAUUGACGCUCAGGGACGAAAGCGUGGGGAGCAAACA